AACGAACGCUGGCGGCAGGCCUAACACAUGCAAGUCGAACGCUCCAGCAAUGGGGAGUGGCGCACGGGUGAGUAACGCGUAGGAAUCUACCCGAUAGUCUGGGAUAACAGCGGGAAACUGCUGCUAAUACCGGAUAUUCCCUGAGGGGGAAAGAAUUUCGCUAUCGGAUGAGCCUGCGUGACAUUAGGUAGUUGGUGGGGUAAUGGCCUACCAAGCCUACGAUGUCUAGCUGGUCUGAGAGGAUGAUCAGCCACACUGGGACUGAGACACGGCCCAGACUCCUACGUGAGGCAGCAGUGGGGAAUAUUGAGCAAUGGGCGCAAGCCUGACCCAGCCAUGCCGCGUGGGUGAUGACGGCCUUAGGAUUGUAAAGCUCUUUCAGUGGUGACGAUGAUGACAGUAGCCACAUAAGAAGCCCCGGCUAACUUCGUGCCAGCAGCCGCGGUAA
rnacentral:rRNA from 1 species